rnacentral:rRNA from 1 species
GGGAAUCUUCCACAAUGGGCGAAAGCCUGAUGGAGCAACGCCGCGUGUGUGAUGAAGGGUUUCGGCUCGUAAAACACUGUUGUAAGAGAAGAAUGACAUUGAGAGUAACUGUUCAAUGUGUGACGGUAUCUUACCAGAAAGGAACGGCUAAAUACGUGCCAG